rnacentral:rRNA from 1 species
GACGUAGGGCGCGAGCGUUGUCCGGAUUUAUUGGGCGUAAAGAGCUCGUAGGCGGCUUGUCGCGUCGACUGUGAAAUCCCGCGGCUCAACUGCGGGUCUGCAGUCGAUACGGGCAGGCUAGAGUUCGGUAGGGGAGACUGGAAUUCCCGGUGUAGCGGUGAAAUGCGCAGAUAUCGGGAGGAACACCGGUGGCGAAGGCGGUUCUCUGGGCCUUACCUGACGCUGAGGAGCGAAAGCGUGGGGAGCGAACAGG